CAGUGUGUGUGAACUCCUGAGCAGCUGUUGUCGAGGCAAAACGCUAUGCUACAAAAUAAUGUACUCAAUAACUGUCCGUGUAUGUUCAUGAAUAAAUUGGUUCAACCUG